UACGUAGGCAGCGAGCGUUGUUCGGAAUUACUGGGCGUAAAGAGUGUGUAGGCGGUGCUCCCAGUCUGUUGUGAAAUCUCCCGGCUUAACUGGGAGGGUGCAGCGGAAACUAGAGUGCUAGAGGGUGGGAGAGGUAAGCGGAAUUCCUGGUGUAGCGGUGAAAUGCGUAGAUAUCAGGAGGAACACCUGUGGUGUAGACAGCUUACUGGACCACUUCUGACGCUGAGACACGAAAGCCAGGGGAGCGAACGGG
rnacentral:rRNA from 1 species